CGCCCUGUUUUUUAAAAACAUGGUUCUAUGUUUUAGUAUUUAGGAUCUGACCUGCUCAAUGUAAUAUGAAUAGCCGCGGUAUUUUAACCGUGCGAAGGUAGCAUAAUAAUUAGGCUAUUAAUUGUAGUCUUGAAUGAAGGGUUUGACGAGGAAAAUUCUUUCUUAUUUAUAAUGUUGAAUUUAAAUUUCCAGUAAGAAUGCUGGUACAAUGUAAAAAGACGAGAAGACCCUAUUGAGUUUUAUAUUUAUGUUUAGUUUGUAUUUGAUCUUUUUUUAAUAUAUAAUAUUUGGUUGGGGCGACUAUUUUAAUUGAACAUUUUAUUUUAUAGAGGUUAAUAUUUUGAUCCAUUAAUAAUGAUUAGUAGAAUAAAUUACCAUAGGGAUAACAGCAUAAUUCAAUUGGAAAGUUCAUAUUGAUAGUUGAGUUUGUGACCUCGAUGUUGGAUUAAGAUUCCUUUUAGGUGAAGGUGCUUAAACAGGUAGACUGUUCGUCUAUUAAAUUCUUACAUGAUCUGAG
rnacentral:rRNA from 1 species